rnacentral:rRNA from 1 species
UAGUCCACGCCGUAAACGAUGUAUGCUAGUUGUUGGGACCUUAGGUUUCGGUGACGCAGAGAAAUCAUUAAGCAUACCGCCUGGGGAGUACGGCCGCAAGGUUAAAACUCAAAGGAAUUGACGGGGACCCGCACAAGCGGUGGAGCAUGUUCUUUAAUUCGAAGCAACGCGAAGAACCUUACCUACACUUGACAUACUAGUCGGGACUUUCAGAGAUGAUUGUCUUCGGUUCGGCCGGACUAGAUACAGGUGCUGCAUGGCUGUCGUCAGCUCGUGUCGUGAGAUGUUAGGUUAAGUCCUGCAACGAGCGCAACCCUUAUUGUCUGUUGCCAUCAUUAAGUUGGGAACUCAGACGAGACUGCCGGUGACAAGCCGGAGGAAGGCGGGGACGACGUCAAGUCAUCAUGGGCCCUUACGUGUAGGGGCUAGAAACGUGCUACAAUGGGGUAUGACAGUGGGGCAGCUACCUCGCGAGAGGGAUGGCUAAUCCCUAAACGUACUCUCAGUUCGGGAUU